rnacentral:rRNA from 1 species
GAUGAACGCUGGCGGCGUGCCUAAUACAUGCAAGUCGAGCGAACGGACGAGAAGCUUGCUUCUCUGAUGUUAGCGGCGGACGGGUGAGUAACACGUGGAUAACCUACCUAUAAGACUGGGAUAACUUCGGGAAACCGGAGCUAAUACCGGAUAAUAUUUUGAACCGCAUGGUUCAAAAGUGAAAGACGGUCUUGCUGUCACUUAUAGAUGGAUCCGCGCUGCAUUAGCUAGUUGGUAAGGUAACGUCUUACCAAGGCAACGAUGCAUAGCCGACCUGAGAGGGUGAUCGGCCACACUGGAACUGAGACACGGUCCAGACUCCUACGGGAGGCAGCAGUAGGGAAUCUUCCGCAAUGGGCGAAAGCCUGACGGAGCAACGCCGCGUGAAUGAUGAAGGUCUUCGGAUCGUAAAACUCUGUUAUUAGGGAAGAACAUAUGUGUAAGUAACUGUGCACAUCUUGACGGUACCUAAUCAGAAAGCCACGGCUAACUACGU